rnacentral:lncRNA from 1 species
GCGCUCCUGCUCGAAGAAGAGGAAGCAGAGGUCAGCGAUGGCUGGGAGCAGAGGUCCGGCGAGCGGGGCGGCGAGGUCUUGGGCGUCCGGAUCUGACCGGGAACGAGCUUGGACGCUGAGAAGAACUGGAUCCGGCGGCUGACGCCUUUCUCUGAAGAAGAAAGUAGCCAUGGAGCGGGGGCUUCAGGCCGGCAAUGGGAUUGCACGGCGGUCGACGCGGGCGAGGGAAGCGGCGGGACUCCGGCGCAUCAAGGAGCUCGGCGGAUGUGGUCGAGCUGGAGGCAUCGGUGAUCAGCGGGGCGAAGAGGACCACCAUAGUGGCCUUCUGGAACUCGUCCAUGACGGCGCGACGGCGAGCUCAUGUCCGGGCGAGGGGAAGCAGGGAGACGACAACUUGGGACAGAGGACCCAAUUGAGGACGACGCAGCGAAAUAGGACAACCAUGGGCUCCUCCAGGCGGCGGCUUGCUUGCUCUGGCGAGGCGGAUGCAAGCGAGGAGAGUUGAGGCAGCCGGCGACGUUCUUCGGCUCGGUGGUGCUGGCCUUGCAGAAGAAACAGGGCGACCACGCGAUUAGCAGUAGCAGUAGGAGAAGAACAACGAGAAACAGGGAGGAGGCGCGGUGAGGAGGAUCUGCGGGUCGGAGCGGCUUGACAGCAGGGGCCAUGGCAUGGUGCUGCUCGGGGCCGGACGACGCUGCUCUCGAUCCACCCUGGAUCGAGGCACAGGACGAGGGGAGGAGGCGCGGAGCAGCCUGCUCGAGCUCGAGGGUGAGGGCGGCGCUCGGGGUUGGCCGUGAUCAGAGGAUCUCAAACAGAGUGGUGCUAGCUGAAUCGGAAGCAGGGGAUGGAUGGGACAGAGAUGAUUGGCCGAUCCUCUGUUCGGUGGUGGCUGAAUGCGCGGUGGAUCGGGUAGGGGAGAUCUCGAGGGGGAUUCGGUGUAGUGGCGGCGGCGAUGAGAUGGAUGAGACAGCCUGCUUAAAAUCUAGGGUUAGGCUGCUUAUAUAGCAACAGGUGGAUUAGGUUAGGGGUGAUCUAGUCCCUCCGAUUGAAAUCAGACGGUCCGAGAAAAUAGGUAGGGAGUCCAAAUAAGAAAAAGGAGAUGUUUUAGGGAUGUUUGGGGCUGAUCCGGAUCCAACAGUGACGACAACCUGGGUCGGGUCCCGGACAACUUUCGGACGCGCGCGCGAGGAGGGUCUGACAAAAGGCCACGGAGGCAAGGGGGGUUAGGAAGGGGUUUUCGGAGCCUCCGAUCGCGACCGAUGGAUCCGAUCGACAUGGGGAAUAGGUAGGCCUAUGUGGGAUAGUUGUGACUGUGUAGAAGGCCGAGGGCUGCGGGAGAGAAGAGANNNNNNNNNNNNNNNNNNNNNNNNNNNNNNNNNNNNNNNNNNNNNNNNNNNNNNNNNNNNNNNNNNNNNNNNNNNNNNNNNNNNNNNNNNNNNNNNNNNNNNNNNNNNNNNNNNNNNNNNNNNNNNNNNNNNNNNNNNNNNNNNNNNNNNNNNNNNNNNNNNNNNNNNNNNNNNNNNNNNNNNNNNNNNNNNAGAGAGAGAGAGAGACCCGGCAGCAUUUUCCGGAGACCGAAAAUGUCCGGCGAUUUGACCGACUAUAUUUUCGCUAUAGUUAUCCGUUGGGGCGUCAAACGGAUUCCGAAUGCGAUGAAACUUGGCAGGCAGCAUAUGUACACUAUAACAACGCCGCAUGCCAACUUUUAACCCAUUUUGAGAACAUUUUCUGGCCACUUAAAAAAUACUAUUUCGGACAUGCCGCGGGCGCGUGCAAGUGUGUAUGGUCUCAGAACGGACAACGGGGAGAACUGGGGGACCCGGACGGAUGCAAGUUGUGAAAACAUGAUGAUGCAAUGCACAUGAUGACAUGAUGAAAAACACACAAGCAAAAGACAUGGCAACAACAGUGAAUAACUGGAAGACACUUGGCGCAUCGGUCUCGGGGCGUUACAACACUCCGCCACUACAAGAGGAUCUCGUCUCGAGAUAUAGGAUGGCACCGGAGAGAAACAGAAGAUGAAGAGAAGAGGUAAAGCUAAGUUGCUUCUUUGACAAAUGAGUGAAACCAAAGAACCUUGCGAGGUUGAACAAAUUGAAAGAAAAAAAAUACAAAAAAGAUGAACAAAGUUGAAAACACUCCGUUAGAAAAAGAGGAACAAGGAACAUUACGGGAACCUUGUAGGUUGAAAGAUAUAAGAAAAGGGUUGUAACGAGAUGGACAAGAAGUACAUGCAAGCACUCCGGUUGAAACGAGAUGAACAAGGAACAAUAAGGAUCAAAUAUGACAACACUUUGGUUGGAAAUGGAAGGUAAAGACUAUGAACUUGGCAAAAAGGAAAGCACUUGGAUCAGACUCCGGUUAGAAGAGGAAUGAUAGCCACAACACUCCGGUUAACACAAGAUGGAGGAGGAAAAAGAAUGAUAUAAUUUGGAUAGCACUCCGACUAUAAAUGGAAGGAAUAGAACAUGAUCUUGACAAGAUGAGAGGAUACUUGAUGAAACCAACAACACACUGCCUCCGGAACUAUUGAAAGAAUGGCACAAUGGGUAAGAAAGAUUUCAGACAGCACUCCGGUUGAGGAGGGAGGUAAAACUUGACAAAAUGGGAGGAACUUGAAAAUAGGGCAUGACACUCCGGUUGAUUGGAUAAGCAAAGGGAAGAACAUGAUCUUGGGGAAAACAAGAUAAUUUGUCAAAGAGAGUACAUCACAAUGCUUCCGAAAUGAACGAAUAGAAGCUAAAUCAUUGUAAUAAUAGAAUUGGGAAGAAAAUGUCAGUUUCUGCCACAAUUGAUCUUGGAAAGCACCCAUCCAAGAAUGUUAUAGCAGAGUUGUAGGGCAACCAACAACGAAAAGAACAAGCUUGUAGUGGGCUUAUGGAGAACAUCUCAAAACUAUGAGGUGAAAUUUUGCCACUAACGGAAACAAUAGAUUGGAUAUCAACAAGGAGACGAGAAACUUAUUUCACUAGAAGGAUAAAUGAAGAACUUUGGUCAUUUAUAAGCACCAUAAAUAGCAACAAUCCUUAGGGAAAGCUUUAGGUGAAAUAUAACCCAAGAAAAUUCCAAAGAAGAGAUUGAUGGGUUGCAAAGGAUCUCAUGAACGAAUUGAAAAUGAUGGGUUUACAAUAUGUCAUUCCGGACAACUUGUGAAUCAUGAAACACCAAGAAAUUGUCAAAAUGACGUAACACCACCUCAAAAAUGGAGCACCACCACCUCCACCACCUCCUCCAACGUUCCUCCACCACCACCAAGCCAUGGAACACCAUGAACUAGGCUUCCAUGGAGGGCCUCCUACAUUGGGACUUCUCACCCGGCCUUGCGGUCGCAGAUCAGGUGCGUAGACGGCUUGGAUCCUCUGUUCAUUUCCUCCCCGAUGGAUCUACCAAGGAAGUUUUCUUGGUUGUGUAUUUUUUGUCUGCCUCCUUCCCCUUAUCUGAAGAAUCUGUGGCCAUUGCCUUACAAUGUUGCAUCGGGGGUUUACCUUCUGGUCUCAAUGUGCAUCAUCUUGAGGGUCGGUCAUUUCGAUUCUCGGUGGCCUCUAAUCGUGUUGGACAUUUUAUCUAUGGUCUCAAAGAUCGAGUUUGGCUAGACUUCGUUUGCCACUUUCAACUUUAUCGCCAUGGCCGUACUCCUCCAAGAUGUUUGGACAAUGUAUGGCAUUCCGAUGUUCACAGUCCUGAGGUAGCUUCACGAUCCCCAAUUGCUCUAAGAACCAAUCUCUCAUUUCUUGCUGCUGGUUAGAGUUUUGAUCUCAGUACAUGUGCUGAACUACAAAAGUUUAAUCUUAUUGCACCGUCGACUAUGACGGCCGAGCAAGUAUGGUCGCCAGCGAAGGACCUUUCAGCAAAUGUGCCAAAUUCAAACUCUUUUGGCAAGGCGCCAUCCAAGGAUCUGGGUUCAUCAGCAUUAAUGGCAAAUAUUUCUUUUGGAAGUCUCCCUUCUUUUCAGUGUGGCAGUGUUAUGGCUCAUAAUACAAGAUUUGAAGGUUGUCGGUUUAAAAAGGACAAUUGGCAAUCUAUCCCUAAUUUCAUUCUAUUGCAUAUUCUGGACUUUCGUCAUGUCGGCCACACGGAGCAACAUAUUGCGAACGUCUGGAAGCUCAACAGUGUACCGUCUCAAGAUUAUAUCCACACGAGAUUGAAUUUGUGCUCAUCUUGCACGGCCUCAGGUCAUUUGGCUGACUCCUGCCCUGACAAACAUUGCACUACCUGUGAGCACUCACCCUAUGUUUGUGGCUCCUUGAAUCCAAUUACUUCGAACAAGUUGGAAGGCAUUUCAACCAGCCCAUUGCCUGGCCCAUCUUGCUACAUUUGUGGUGCUACUACCCACUUCACUUUUGGGUGCCCGGGCGCGCUUUACUGUAGAUACUGCACCUUUAUGGGCCACACCCCCAACUGUUGUGAUGACCACAAGGCGGCUCGCUUCUACUGGAGGCCCAAGCUUGAGCUGGCCCACCAGGAUCUUAUCUCCGCUGGCUCACAUGACAAAAGUGACAUCUCUCGACAGGUUUCAACUGAGGGGUUGGCAAGUAAUCGCAUUGUCCGGAUUUUCCCUUCUGCUAAGGAUCACAAAACCACUUUGGAAACAAGUGUGAAUCCACACAAUUAUCGACAAACUGCAUUGAUCAGGAAUUCUACUUUGGGCAAGAAUAAUUCCCAUGCUAAUCAUAAUCAGCCACAGAAUCAUUCUUCUGAUCUACCCCCACCAUUUACCGCACCUACCAAACUGGACUGGAAAUCGCAGCGGUCGAAUGGGACCCUUCGAUGUCACAACUGCGGGCGCGAUGGACACGUGGCUUCAUCCUGCUUCAUCAACACAAGAAAAAAGGGGUGGCGCUGGGUCCCCAAGUCUCUCCCAAGGGCCGCCGCUCCGCAUUCUACCUCGACCUUCACACCGUCCUCUGCUUCGUUGCAGAGCACCACCACAACCAUGGCUAACUUUCCAAUCAAUGUCAUCCCCUACCUCCCGCCGGGCAUGACCGUCGAGCUCGGGCCGCCUGACCGUAGGGUGCGUGACGACAUGGUGGUUGGUCCAAUCCCUCCGCUGCGCCACGACUUCCUCGCCAUUGCUGAAGCAAACAGGGACAUCCCCUUUCACCGCAAGGCGGCUCUCCGCCACAUCAUUGAAGGUUUGCUUCAUGAAUCCGAGUUUUUUCCGACUGAAGUAGGCGACCACCCUCUUGGUGUUGGUAUCUUUGGUUUUCCCAACACGCUCAUUAGGGAUGCAGUAGUUGGUACCACCUUUGAGCUUGAUGAGGAGGAGUUUGAUGAGCCGGUAGUGAUAUCCUUUGUUCCUCAUGAUGCUGCUCUGAACAUGCGUCUGACUUCUUUCGGGCCGGAGAUCUGGUUGCUGUACAUUGGUUUUCCGUAUGAUUAUCAGACUCAACACUAUAUGCAUAAAUCUGUCGAUAAGUUUGGUCAGUUGGUUGAAUGGCAUAACCCGAGAGGGGACCGUCGAUUCGUGCUUCUGAAAGUCAGGGUGAUACAUCUUCGAUUCGUUCCUAAGAGUAUGGUGUUGCGCCAACUUGGAGGCGCUCGCCAGAGCUGGACUGUGGCCGUCACUAUGUUAAGGAGCAGUGACUGGAAUGCACACAUCCCAGAUGUCCCGCCGGCCACUGAGGAUCCUCCUCCCGAAGAUGGAAUUCCCCACCCACUUCAUGGAGAGAACCUCACUGCUGAACAGAUUUAUCAAAUGCAGCUUCACAAUUGGAUCGCUCAGAAUGUGGCCGCCAAUGCCAAUGCUCAGCCAGGAAAUGACAAUGCAGAACAGGUGGUAGAUGAUGAAGUGCAGUUUCAACCUAAUUGGGGAGUCUGGCCCCCAUCCCCACCACAUACACCUCCCGCCAUGUUCAACUUCCAGGCCUGGCUAGCUGGAGAAGGUUUGCAGGUGCACCAUGGCAUUCAUCCUCUCAAUAACCUGCAAGAUAGUCCGGCUGCUGCUUGGAACGACUCAAUCUCUGUUUUUAGCAGCUCGGACUCCAGUGCUACUCUGUCUGAUGGUUUCUCCAUCGUCCCUUUAAACAUCUUCAACCAACUGCUUUCUGUUAAUGGAUCGACCUUGGGUGUUUUGUCUGUCGACACAGCUCAGUCUAGUGAUUCUGUCCAGGGCCCGAUCGCGGCUCCACCUGAGGUAAACAGUAUUGAACUGACCCUGACUAUAUCCAAUGCUGGUAUGCAGUUCUCCAUGCUUUCAGAUCAUGACAGCUAUGCCUCGCUCCUGCUGAAUGAGUGUGUGCCUAUGCUAAGGCUCAACACCUACCUCACUGCUGCUAUCCGACCUAUCAUUGCUGCUUUUGGCCCUUGGAGUUCAGGUUUUGGUUUUCGGGAUAGUUCAGUGCAAUUCUCGGUCAAUGUUGAGGAGACAAAUGGGCAUUUCUCUGUUCGGUCAGCAUCUAAAACUGUCAAAUACUCUGCUGACUCUGCCUCUCGUACUAUCCUCAUUCCUGGUCACACCUCAUGGGCUCUACACCAGGGAGAUGAUGCGCAUGUGUCUCCUGAGGAAUCUGCCAUUCUCCCCCGGGCUGCUACUUCCAAGGUUGUCAUUACUGAGAUUGAUGCUGGCCUCGAUCAGGAUGUGCCGUCAGAUGUGACCAUUCCUACUAACACUAAUGCUCUGAGCCUAACUGCUCCGGAUGAUGCAGUGCUUCCUCAGCUUCCCAAUGCUAUCACUGAAGCAUCAACUGAAGCCACCAAGACUUUGAUUUCUCCUCAUGCGGUGGAUCUGGGUGCAGGCACUUCAGUAGUCAGGAAAGGCAAAGCCAAAGCUCCAGCAUCUGUGUUGGAGGUGCGUCGCAGCAAUAGAUCCAACAAAUAUGAUGGGUUUAAGGUACCCUCUGUCUCUCACACUAAGCCAAAACCCUCUAAAGUUAAACCCCGAGUUGUACCCUCUGCUACUGAUACUCCUAUGGAGGUUGUUGAUCACACAGUCAAUCAGGGGGACUACAUCCCGCUGCCUACUCCAAUUCAGGUUCUGCAGCACAUUGGAAUUAGCAAGUGCGCCAUCCCGCCAGCCGAGGUCUCUGAAGAAGCUCUCAUGGCGGAUUCUGCGGACGGCCCGCCCCAGGCUUGAAGUAUCUGAAAGUGCCUGCUGAGAGGCUUACCUAUUUUGCUUUAUCCUUUCAUGUCUUCUUUGUUGAAUUGGAACAUCCUAUGCUGGAAUGUACGUGGCUUAAACUCUGAACCUAAACUUUUAGCGCUAUCUAAUGCUAUCGCUUCUAGUGGUUGUGCUAUCAUUUGUCUGCAAGAAACAAAAAAACCCACCAUUGAUAAUAUGUUCAUUAAAUCUUGCUGCCCGAAGAGAUUUGACAAAUUUGCUUACAUACCUUCGAAUGGGGCCUCGGGAGGGAUCGUCACAAUCUAUAAUAGUGCCAUCUUUACUGGCUCUGUGAUUAUGGAAGAAGAUUUUGCGUUGGCCAUUAAGUUUCGUUCCACACAGUCUUCCCAGGAAUGGACGCUGGUGAAUAUUUAUGGCCCAUGCCAAGGGGAUUCUAGAGUGACUUAUACAAAUUGGCUCCGACAUCUUAAUAUUCCAUCUAAUGAUGAUUGGCUUUUAUUGGGAGACUUUAAUUACAUACAUGGCCUCGACAACAGGAACAAGCCUGGAGGUAAUCCAAAUGACAUGAUCACUUUCAACAACAUCAUUCGAUCGAAUCAGCUAAUUGAACUGCCAAUCAAGGGCAGGGCCUACACAUGGAGCAAUAUGCAGAUUGAUCCACUGCUCGAACAGUUAGACUGGUUCCUCACUUCCAACAAUUGGACAUCUUCAUACCCAAACACACUAGUGGUGACCUUGGGAAAACCAGUUUCUGAUCAUAUCCCGUGUGUGGUGAAAAUUGAAACAUCCAUUCCACGCAGUAAAAUUUUUAGGUUCGAAUCUUAUUGGACUGAACAUCCUGGUUUCUUUGAGUUAGUCCAAUCGGUCUGGUCAAGAACCUUCAAGCAUACCUGCAAUGCAGCCACUUUGCUAGCCAGAAAAUUCAAAGCACUCAGAUAUGAGUUGAAGCGGUGGAGUAAAAGAUUCUCUAAACUAACAGUGGCGAUCGACAAUUCUAAUCUUGCAUUAGCCAAUCUUGAUGCUAUUGAAAACAUUAGAGCCCUCUCCACACCAGAGCAGAACUUCAGGACAAUCCUGAAAAGGCACCUCCUUCGGUUGUUGGGCUAUCAACGACAAUACUGGCAAAAAAGAUGCACUAUCCGUUGGAUCAAAUUUGGAGACGAAGACCCUAAAUUUCUGAAAGCUCUAGCAUCGGAGAGAUACAGACGAAACACAAUACCAACACUCAAACUCUCGGAUGGAUCGGUCGUAGAUGACCACGCGGGUAAAGAGGCAAUCAUUUAUCAUACAUUUAAAGAGCGGUUGGGGAAAUCAGGCGAAUUCCAAAUGAAAUUCAACCUCCCUGAUAUCAUCAAAAAAGUUGAGGGACUGGAGACACUUACUGUCCCCUUCACCAAGCAGGAGAUAGAUGUGAUCGUUAACGAAAUGCCGACCGACCGAGCUCCAGGACCAGAUGGUUUCUCUGGUAUCUUUAUCAAAAAAUGCUGGCAUAUUAUUAAGAACGACUUCUAUGAUCUAUGCAACCAGUUCUAUGAGGGGACCCUAAAUCUUGAAAGCAUCAAUGAGGGGUUUAUUACACUCAUUCCUAAGGUUCGCUCCCCAGAGAAUGUCUCUGAUUUUAGACCAAUCACUUUGUUGAAUUGUUGUCUUAAGAUUCUCACAAAACUUCUUGCCAACCGACUACAAAAGCUCAUUCUUAAAAUCGUUCAUCGAAACCAAUAUGGAUUCCCAAAAGGCCGAUCACUACAGGACUGUCUCGCCUGGGCGUUCGAAUAUAUCCAUCAGUGUCAAGCCUCCAAGGAAAAGAUCAUCCUCCUAAAACUGGAUUUCGCAAAGGCCUUUGAUACGAUCGAACAUGAUGCUAUGCUUAUGAUUAUGCAGCAUAUGGGAUUUGAUGACAGAUGGCUCAAUUGGGUAAAAUGCAUUUUCUCCUCUGGCAAGUCAGCGGUGCUUCUAAAUGGGGUCCCGGGUCAUCAAUUCAACUGUAAAUGUGGUGUUCGACAGGGUGACCCAUUCUCUCCAUUGAUUUUUGUAUUGGCGGCUGACCUCUUACAGGCCGCAAUCAAUGACGCUUUCAGACAUGGCCGAAUCCAGCUACCGUUCCCCAGAGAGAACCAACACGACUACCCUGUGAUACAAUACGCGGACGACACGCUCAUUCUUCUUCCUGCAUGCCCGGUCCAAGCCCUCACAAUCAAAAACAUUUUCACUGACUACGCUGACUCCAUUGGGCUCAAGAUAAACUUCCACAAGUCCACACUGAUCCCAAUUAACUAUGAGGCUGCCUGCUACAAUGAGCUCUCCAAUAUCUUUGGAUGUAAUGUUGGUUCCAUGCCCUUCACUUACCUAGGGUUACCUCUCGGGACAACCAAGCCCUCAGUUCAAGAUUUAAUGCCGCUUGUUUGUACAAUGGAACGUCGGAUGUCAAGCACUCUGGCCUUGAUGUCGUAUGGAGCCAGGCUAUCUCUACUCAAUACCAUGAUCACUUCACUAGUCAUCUUUGCUUUGUGCACUCUCAGACUGCCACCAAAGAUAAUUAAACUGCUUGAUAAACUGCGAAGGAAGUGUCUAUGGACAAAGAAGACAGAACAUGGGGACAAAUGCAAUUCCCUUGCGGCCUGGAGUAUGGUGUGUAGACCAAAACAGUGUGGAGGCCUUGGUAUAAUCAACCUACGCGUACAAAGCGAUGCCCUCCUUCUCAAAUAUCUGCAUAAAUUCUACAACAAGCACGAUGUACCUUGGGUGGAGCUUGUGUGGUCCACAUACUAUACAAACAAAAUCCCCCAUGCCAUGGAACCAUGCGGAUCAUUCUGGUGGAGAGAUGUUCUCAAGCUCACCCUGAUUUACAGAGGGAUUUCUAAAGCCAUUGUGCAUGAUGGAGCUACAGUGCUCAUGUGGAAAGACCUGUGGCUCGACGCCACUCUCGAUGAAAAGUACCAGCGCGCCUUCUCCUUUGCAAAAAAUGAAGAUAUUUCGGUUAAGGAUUUCCUGGGAUCCACAUCUCUGCAUGAAACGUUUCACCUCCCACUAUCAGUCCAAGCAAUGCAAGAAAUCCGUGAUCUUCAGCAAGAGGUGAGGCAUGUUGGCAACGCUACUGAUCCGACCCCACACGAUAACUGGACUUACUGUUGGGGCUCAGUGGAUUUUAAGGCCAUCAAAUACUACAAAUUCUAUUUUUGAGAGGUGCAUGCACAUCAAUCAUACAAGUGGCUCUGGGCGGCCAGGUCAACGCUCAAAAUUAAGGUCUUUGGGUGGCUUCUUCUCUCUGACCGCUUAAACACACGUAACAUGCUAAAGAGGAGACACUACAAUAUUGGGGACGAUUACAACUGCCUUCUUUGUGAUCAGCAAAUUGAAGAGACUGUCGAACACAUGAUCUUCCAGUGCCCCUUUAGCCAACGAUGUUGGUCCAUUCUAGGGAUAACUUGGCAGCAAACUGGUUCAAGGCUUCGGUGGAUCAGCAUGGCAGCUCAUGAUUGGAGCAGUCCCAUGUUCAUGGAUGUUUUCCUUCAAGCGGCUUGGAGCAUUUGGAAAGAGAGGAAUAACAAACAUUUCAGAAGCAUCCCACCAACUAUUCUAUCAUGGCUCCAACGUUUCAAACAUGACUUUGCCCUGCUCCAACAUAGAACCAGAGAAGAUGUGAGAGACUUUAUUCUCUCCUUUGUAAUUAGCUUAGAACCCCCUUGAUUGCCCCCACCAUAUAAAGUAGUAGUAGCCCUAGCCUCCACAGGUGGAGGUAAGGCGCCAGGUAAAAACGCCAUGUACAUUGUACCCUGCUUUUGAGUAAUACAAACACAGUGGGAGCCUCUCCCACUGUCCAAUUCCUCAAAAACAAACACCACCUCAAAAGAUAAGGUAGAACGAAUUGCACUUCAGAAUGCAAGAUGAAGAAAACUUGAGCUCCUUUGAAAAGAAUCUCGAUGAACACUUUAAGAAGGAAUUAAAUCCUUGACGAACCACCAUGUACAGCAUGCACGAAGAACUCCGGUAAUGAUCAAAUGAAAUGAAGGAUGAAAAGAAUAAGGUUGAAGCCUUGCUAUGAUUAGAUGGAUCUUCGUGAUGAUGGGAGCUUGGAACUCUGGGAAAAGAAAAGAUGAACCAAUUGAAACCGAGAAUUUGAUGAACCUCUGGAAUAAGGAAUUGAAUUCACUCGAUGAAACAAGAAUAAUAAUUGCAUUAUGCUUAUCCUUCACCAAUUUAAAUUGAUGACAAGCAACGGAUUUGGCAUACUGCUUAUUCUCGUAGAAAGGAUUAAAGAGAGGUAUAGCGCAAACUUGAGAAAGGUCUUCAAUGAACCACCGGUAGGAUUGGGAAGAAAGAAUGAGUUGAUAUGAUAACCAAGGAAGGGAACUCUUUAACGAACCACUGUAAGAAUUGAAAAUGAACGAAGAAAAGAUAAGGAAACACCGCGAAGAAUUAGAGAACGAAUGAAGAUACUUGAGGGAAUUUAGAUACAUGAGAACGAAGAGAUCACGAACUGAUUAGAGAAUACUUGAAUGAUGCACCGAUAAGAUUUGGAGAAUGAGAGCUGAAAGCUGAGAAUGAAUAAUUCUGAGUUGAUGGCUUUCGGAGGAUCAAACUGAAAAGACUUCUGAAUUGUUCCGGAUGGGUGAAAAGAAUUCUCACAAACGAAAACAAUUAUGGGAGGAAGGCAUGAAGCUAGAACCAUGAGUCUUUGGAAGAACGGGUAUGGAUUUAAGAGGAACUCUUCUUCGGUCUUCAAAAUUCAAGAAUGAUGACGAGAAACACCACCAUGAAUUUUUGAGGUACUCCGGAAUGAAAAAUAGAAUGGUUGAACCAACAAUGAGAAGAAUUUGAAAGAUCUUGGAGAAAGACAUUUGACUGAUGAAAAUUCAUUCUUACGUCAAACUUUAGAAGAUUUGAGAAUAGUUCUGAGAAAAUAGAAGAGUCUGGUAAGAUCCUGGGAAAAGACCUGUGGGUUAGGGCCCACUCAAAGGAUACACCGUUGAAUGAUUUAAACAAGAGAAUGCGCCGGUUGAAUUAAAUGGCUUGAAGCUUGAAUGGAAUGCAGAGUGGAAACAUGAAUCUUCGAGAUAUCUUCAGCACUCCGGAACAAUUGAAUAGCAAGCGGGGAAUGAUUAUGAGGUGCACCGGCAUGGGAAAAGCAUUUGAACCGAGCAAAUGAUAUGAUCGAGAAAGCUUGAAUUGAAUCCACCGGAGAAGAAAGAGAACGAAGAAUGAUGAACUUGAAGCUUCCUUUAGCAUCUUCCUGAGAAUCACCGGAUAAAAACAUUGACGGAAAAGAAUGGAGAGACUUCCCAUCAAUAAAAGUAUUCUUGAUUAAGCACUUCGAGUCCUUGAAGAAAAAAAGGGUGGGAGGGCGGGAAAAAACAAAGAAGACUUGCGAACGGAUGAAAUGAACAACGUUGAGAAGGCUUUGAGUUGAUCUUGUGGAUGUUGAAAAUGAUCGGAUCCACUUGAAGAGAAGCACGUCGGUUGAAAAGGAUUGACAUGACAAUCUCGAUUAUCAUGAAGGAUUAGUAUUCACAUAGAAAUAUGAGCACACCGCUUAGGAAAGGUAUGGAAUCAACAUUUGACUUCGAAGCAACUCGAAUACCACAAAUCAAAACAAAACAAAGGGUUGGGUUGCAAAAGAAACCGGAACAAACCUAUGAUAGAUCCCAUAUCGUAUCAUGUGUCUGUUGGAAAGAUAUUCUAGGAGCUACUUGAAUUCCCACUUAUAAACUCCCGAAACUUUCUGGUUAUGCAAUCAGGUGUUGGGGAUACAGGGGAAGCAUAAUAUCUCACCCAAACUAACAAUUCAUAAAUCCAACUGUAUCCAUCCUUCAGCACAUAACAAAGAACCCUUCGGAAAUCAUGUACCUCAACCUUCAAAAAGCAUCCGUUAUACGAGUUAUGGCAAUACUCCCGAACUCCCGCUCCAGUAUUGGGUGGCGUCGAGGUUAUCUCACCAACAACUACAUAAAAGAUAUUUUCGAUGUCGGCGAACUCAGGUAUUCCAGAACUGCAAUGAUAAAAUUGUGACGACAACACCUCGGAGCUCAACUCCCCGGGACACUGCCACAACCCCUAAAUGUCAGGAGGCACCAAGAACAAUGUUCUCGUAACAAAACCAUCGGAACGAUUCCAAGAUACCCGCGUGAUCCUAAAAAAAUUGGUGAAAUUUGAGGAGAGAAGUGUCAAAACUCUAUGUCAGGAGGCCUCACCAGAGCGACGGAGGGACUGAGGAGUAAAAAGAAUCCUACUCUCCGAUAUAUAUAAUCCUAAGACUCAAAACAUUUUGUUCUAGACUUAACAAAGUCAGCGAUUCGAUCAAGCAGGGGGCUCCUAAGUCGGGGAAGGCUCUGAUACCAACUUGUAACACCCACAAUGCGGCUAUAUCUCCCAGGUGUUGGGGCACGACUUAGAGGCAUAGCUGCAUGGUAGGUUUGUCGCAAGAGGGGUAAUCUUCACACAAUCCCAUGUACUGAAUAAAAAGGGAUAAAGAGUUGGCUUACAAUCGCCACUUCACACAAAUACAAGUUAAACAUACAUCAUGCAGAAUACAAUCAAGGUCUGACUACGGAACCAAAAUAAAAGAAGACAACCCCAAUGCUAGAUCCCCGAUCAUCCCAACUGGGCUCCACUACUGAUCAGCAGGAAACGAAACAAAACAACAAACAAGAUCUUCAUCGAGCUCCCACUUGAGCUCGAUUGCAUCACCUGCAUUGGUAUCAUUGGCACCUGCAACUGUUUGGAAGUAUCUGUGAGUCACGAGGACUCAGCAAUCUCACACCUGCGAGAUCAAGACUAUUUAAGCUUAUGGGUAGGAAAGGGUAGUGAGGUGGAGCUGCAGCAAGCACUAAGCAUAUAUGGUGGCUAACUUACGCAAAUGAGAGCGAGAAGAGAAGCAAUGCAAGGGUCAUGAACUAGAAGUGAUCAAGAAGUGAUCUUGAAACUACUUACGUUUCAACCAUAACACAAGAACCGUGUUCACUUCCCGUACUUCGCCAAGAAGAGACCAUCAUGGCUACACACGCGGUUUUUUCAUUUUAAUUAAGUUAAGUGUCAAGUUCUCUACAACCGGAUAUUAACAAAUUCCCAUCUGCCACAAAACCGCGGGCAUGGCUUUCGAAAGUUCAAACCCUGCAGGGGUGUCCCAACUUAGCCCAUGACAAGCUCUCACGGUCAAUGAACGAUAUUCCUUCUCCCAGGAAGACCCGAUCAGACUCGGAAUCCCGGUUAGAAGACAUUUCGACAAUGGUAAAACAAGACUAGCAAGACCGCCUGAUGCGCCGACAUCCUGAUAGGAGCUGCACAUAUCUCGUUCUCAAGGCAACAUUGGAUGAACACUACGUACAGCUAAAACCAGCCCACAAGUUUCCCUGAGGUGGCGCCGCAAGUGGAUCUACUUCGGACCAAUACUUAGAGAAGCACUGGCCCCGGGGGGUUAAAAUAAUGAUGACCCUCGAGAGCGCGACUCCCAAGGGAAAAGUAUAGGUGGUGGUGAGGCAAAUGGUAAAACCAAGGUUGGGCCUUGCUGGAGGAAUAUUUUUCAAAGCGAACUGUCAAGGGGUCCCCAUAACACCCAAUUGUGUAAGGAAUGCAAAAUCAAGGAACAUAACACCGGUAUGACAGAAACUAGGGCGGCAAGAGUGGAACAAAACACUAGGCAUAAGGCUGAGCCUUCCACCCUUUACCAAUUAUAUAGAUGCAUUAAAGUAAAUAAGAUAUAAUAGUGAUAUCCCAACAAUAUCCAUGUUCCAACAUGGAACAAACUUCAUCUUCACCUGCAACUAGCAACACUAUAAGAGGGGCCGAGCAAAGUGGUAACAUAGCCAAACAACGGUUUGCUAGGAAAGGUGGGUUAGAGGAUUGACAUGGCAAUAUGGGAGGCAUGAUAUAGCAAGUGGUAGGUAGCGCGGCAUGGCAAUAGAGCGAACAACUAGCAAGCAAAGAUAGAAGUGAUUUCGAGGGUAUGGUCAUCUUGCCUGAGAUCUCGCAAGGAAGAAGAACAAGCCCAUGAACAAGACAAACAGAUGUAGUCGAACGAAUCCUCACAACUCCGGAACGAAACCAAAGCUAACGAGAGAAGCAACCCGGAAAGAAGCAAGCAACAUAGUAAACAACCCUCAGAUAAACAUGGCACGAUGCACAACCAAGUAUGAUGCAUGUCCGGUUUAAUGAGGCAUGGCAUGGCAAAGUGCACAAGCAAAACUACAAUUUAAGUGGAGCUCAAUACGCAACGAGUUGCAUAUUGAUGAAAUACCCCAACAAUUAUUUAGUUCACUCUCGUUUAGGUACCCAACAAUGUUAAAUGUUGGUUAGCAUGGCAAGAGCGGAAGCAUAAGUAAACUAAGUAUCUAGUCAAAUUUAAAUGAGGCCAGAAAAAACGAACAACAAUUCUGGUAAAUCCCCAUAUGCAUAUUUCAAAGUUGGUACUGUUCUGCCCUAAACAUAAUUUUAGAGUUAUUAACCAUGCAAAGUAAGUACAUCAUGUUAAACUAGACAUUUUUCUACCCCAUUUACAUAUAAAGUUUGUUAAGUUUGGAGCUACGGUUAUUUAGUUAUGAAAUAAAGCAUUUUAACAUGGCAUUGGGGCAAAUUAAAGCAAACAACAAUUUAAACAUUUCAAACAUGCAUGAAAGUUGGAUAUUAUGAAACUAGACACAAUUCUAAGCAUUUUUCAUAUAUAAUUCAUUUUAAUCCGAUGCACCAUUUGUGAGUUAUGUUAUGCAUGAACUAGGAGGACUUUUCUGUAUAACUGCAAAACACAGGAAUAAUAGACAAAAUCGCGGACACGGAAAAAAACUACACUGGGCCAAAUCUGCAGCCUGGCCUAACAGUUGCAGGGGCGUUGGAGGCUCACCAUGGGCCUCGGCCAUUUGGUGGAGGAGGGAGGCCUGCAGGGCGCGCGGCUCGGCCUUUGAGCCCACCUGGCGAACACUUGCGGAUGCGGCGCAGUCAACGCGGGCGUCGACCCCGUCAUCCUCCUCUCGGACAGAGGCUGCACGGGACUUGGACAAGCACUCCUGAUCGAAGAAGAGGAAGCAGAGGUCAGUAGUGGCUGGGAGCAGAGGUCCGGCGAGCGGGGUGGCGAGGUCUUGGGAGUCCGGAUCUGGCCGGGAACGAGCUUGGACGCUGAGAAGAACCGGAUCCGGCGGCCGACGCCUUUAUCUGAAGAAGAAAGCAGCCAUGGCAUGGGGGCUUCAGGCAGGCGAUGGGAAUGCACGGGCGGUCGACGCGGGCGAGGGAAGCGGAGGGACUCCGGCGCAGCAGGGAGCUCGGCGGACGUUGUCGAGUUGGAGGCAUCGGUGAUCAGCGAGGCGAAGAGGACCACCAUGGUGGCCUUUUGUAACUCGUCCAUGAUGGCGCGACGGCGAGCUCAUGUCCGGGCAAGGGGAAGCAGGGAGACGACGGCUUGGGACAGAGGACCCGGUUGAGGACGACGUAGCAAAACGGGACGACCAUGGGCUCCUCCAGGUGGCGGCUUGCUUGCUCCGGCGAGGCGGAUGCAAGCAAGGAGAGUUGAGGCGGCCGGCGACGUUCUUCGGAUCGGUGGUGCUGGCCUUGCAGAAGAAACAAGGUGACGACGCGAUUAUCAGCAGCAGUAGGAGAAGAACAGCGAGAAACAGGAAGGAGGCGCGGUGAGGAGGACCUGCGGGUCGGAGCGGCUUGAUGGCGGGGGCCAUGGCGUGGUGCUGCUUGGGGCCGGAUGACGCUGCUCUCGAUCCACCCUGGAUCGAGGCACAGGAGGAGGGGAGGAGACGUGGAGCAUCCUGCUCGAGCUCGAGGGUGAGGGCGGCGCUCAGGGUUGGCCGUGAGCAGAGGAGCUCAAACAGAGUGGUGCUGGCUGAAUCGGAAGGAGGGGAUGGAUGGGACAGAGAUGAUUGGCCGAUGCUCUGUUCGGUGGUGGCUGAAUGCGCGGUGGAUCGGGCAGGGAGAUACCGAGGGGGAUUCGGUGUAGUGGCGGCGGCGAUGAGAUUGAUGGGAC